UACAGAGGGUGCGAGCGUUGUUCGGAAUUAUUGGGCGUAAAGGGCGCGUAGGCGGUGCGGUAAGUCACCUGUGAAAUCUCCUGGCUCAACUGGGAGCUUGCAGGCGAAACUGCCGUGCUGAAGUGUGGGAGAGGUGCGUGGAAUUCCUGGUGUAGCGGUGAAAUGCGUAGAUAUCAGGAGGAACACCUGUGGCGAAAGCGGCGCACUGGACCACAACUGACGCUGAGGCGCGAAAGCUAGGGGAGCAAACAGG
rnacentral:rRNA from 1 species